rnacentral:misc_RNA from 1 species
GAUGAAGAACGUAGCGAAAUGCGAUAAGUAAUGUGAAUUGCAGAAUUCAGUGAAUCAUCGAAUCUUUGAACGCACAUUGCGCCCGCCAGUAUUCUGGCGGGCAUGCCUGUUCGAGCGUCAUUUCAACCAUCAAGCCCCCGGCUUGUGUUGGGGACCUGCGGCUGCCGCAGGCCCUGAAAACCAGUGGCGGGCUCGCUAUUCACUCCGAGCGUAGUAAUACAUCUCGCUCAGGGCGUGCUGCGGGUUCCGGCCGUUAAAAAGCCUUAUUUACCCAAGGUUGACCUCGGAUCAGGUAGGAAGACCCGCUGAACUUAAGCAUAUCAAUAAGCGGAGGA